GGGCGCAUGUUCUAGCGGUAUGAUUUUCGCUUCGCAUCCGUGCGGGUAUGUGAAAGGUCGGGGGUUCAAUUCCCCCUGUGUCCA
rnacentral:tRNA from 1 species